AGUUAAGAUAAUUAGGGCAAAUAGUGGAUGCCUUGGCGACGGACGGCGAUGAGGGACGUAGUAAGCUGCGAUAAGCCUCGGGGAGCU
rnacentral:rRNA from 1 species